GCCUGGGUGGCUCAGUCGGUUGAGCGUCCGACUUCAGCCCGGGUCACGAUCUCGCAGUCCGUGAGUUCGAGCCCCACGUCGGGCU
rnacentral:tRNA from 1 species